rnacentral:rRNA from 1 species
GAUGAACGCUAGCGAUAGGCUUAACACAUGCAAGUCGAGGGGCAGCACAAGGUAGCUUGCUAUCUGGGUGGCGACCGGCGCACGGGUGCGUAACGCGUAUGCAACUUGCCCUAUACAGGAGGAUAACCCGUCGAAAGACGGACUAAUACUGCGUAUGCUCACAACUUGGCAUCAAGUGGUGAGGAAAGAAAUUCGGUAUAGGAUAGGCAUGCGUCCCAUUAGCUUGUUGGUGAGGUAACGGCUCACCAAGGCAACGAUGGGUAGGGGAACUGAGAGGUUUAUCCACCACACUGGUACUGAGACACGGACCAGACUCCUACGGGAGGCAGCAGUGAGGAAUAUUGGUCAAUGGGCGCGAGCCUGAACCAGCCAAGUCGCGUGAAGGAUGACUGUCUUAUGGAUUGUAAACUUCUUUUAUACGGGAAUAACAAGAGUCACGUGUGACUCACUGCAUGUACCGUAUGAAUAAGCAUCGGCUAACUCCGUG